CUACCCUUUGGUACGGAACAACUCGGCGAAAGCUGAGCUAAUACCGUAUGUGUCCUUCGGGAGAAAGAUUUAUCGCCAAAGGAUGUGCCCGCGUCGGAUUAGCUAGUUGGUGGGGUAACGGCCCACCAAGGCGACGAUCCGUAGCUGGUCUGAGAGGAUGAUCAGCCACACUGGGACUGAGACACGGCCCAGACUCCUACGGGAGGCAGCAGUGGGGAAUAUUGGACAAUGGGGCAACCCUGAUCCAGCCAUGCCGCGUGAGUGAUGAAGGCCUUAGGGUUGUAAAGCUCUUUCGCCCGCGAAGAUAAUGACUGUAGCGGGAGAAGAAGCCCCGGCUAACUUCGUGCCAGCAGCCGCGGUAAUACGAAGGGGGCUAGCGUUGUUCGGAAUCACUGGGCGUAAAGCGUACGUAGGCGGGCAAUUAAGUCAGGGGUGAAAGCCUUGAGCUCAACUCAAGAACUGCCUUUGAUACUGGUUGCCUGGAGUCCGGGAGAGGUGAGUGGAACUGCUAGUGUAGAGGUG
rnacentral:rRNA from 1 species